rnacentral:rRNA from 1 species
GGUUAAGCGACUAAGCGUACACGGUGGAUGCCCUGGCAGUCAGAGGCGAUGAAGGACGUGCUAAUCUGCGAAAAGCGCCGGCGAGGUGAUAUGAACCCUUGACCCGGCGAUGUCCGAAUGGGGAAACCCAGUGUGUUCCGACACACUAUCGUUAACUGAAUACAUAGGUUAACGAGGCGAACCGGGGGAACUGAAACAUCUAAGUACCCCGAGGAAAAGAAAUCAACCGAGAUUCCCCCAGUAGCGGCGAGCGAACGGGGAGCAGCCCGGAGUCUGAAUCAGCUUGUGUGUUAGUGGAACGGUCUGGAAAGUCCGACGGUACAGGGUGAUAGUCCCGUACACGAAAAUGCACAUGCUGUGAACUCGAAGAGUAGGGCGGGACACGUGGUAUCCUGUCUGAAUAUGGGGGGACCAUCCUCCAAGGCUAAAUACUCCUGACUGACCGAUAGUGAACCAGUACCGUGAGGGAAAGGCGAAAAGAACCCCGGCGAGGGGAGUGAAAAAGAACCUGAAACCGUGUACGUACAAGCAGUGGGAGCACCUUCGGGUGUGACUGCGUACCUUUUGUAUAAUGGGUCAGCGACUUAUAUUCUGUAGCAAGGUUAACCGUAUAGGGGAGCCGAAGGGAAACCGAGUCUUAACUGGGCGUUAAGUUGCAGGGUAUAGACCCGAAACCCGGUGAUCUAGCCAUGGGCAGGUUGAAGGUUGGGUAACACUAACUGGAGGACCGAACCGACUAAUGUUGAAAAAUUAGCGGAUGACCUGUGGCUGGGGGUGAAAGGCCAAUCAAACCGGGAGAUAGCUGGUUCUCCCCGAAAGCUAUUUAGGUAGCGCCUCGUGAAUUCAUCUUCGGGGGUAGAGCACUGUUUCGGCUAGGGGGCCAUCCCGGCUUACCAACCCGAUGCAAACUACGAAUACCGAAGAAUGUUAUCACGGGAGACACACGGCGGGUGCUAACGUCCGUCGUGAAGAGGGAAACAACCCAGACCGCCAGCUAAGGUCCCAAAGUCAUGGUUAAGUGGGAAACGAUGUGGGAAGGCACAGACAGCCAGGAUGUUGGCUUAGAAGCAGCCAUCAUUUAAAGAAAGCGUAAUAGCUCACUGGUCGAGUCGGCCUGCGCGGAAGAUGUAACGGGGCUAAACCAUGCACCGAAGCUGCGGCAGCGACACUUAUGUGUUGUUGGGUAGGGGAGCGUUCUGUAAGCCGUUGAAGGUGUGCUGUGAGGCAUGCUGGAGGUAUCAGAAGUGCGAAUGCUGACAUAAGUAACGAUAAAGCGGGUGAAAAGCCCGCUCGCCGGAAGACCAAGGGUUCCUGUCCAACGUUAAUCGGGGCAGGGUGAGUCGACCCCUAAGGCGAGGCCGAAAGGCGUAGUCGAUGGGAAACAGGUUAAUAUUCCUGUACUUGGUGUUACUGCGAAGGGGGGACGGAGAAGGCUAUGUCAGCCGGGCGACGGUUGUCCCGGUUUAAGCAUGUAGGCGGAGGUUCCAGGUAAAUCCGGUACCUUAUUAACGCUGAGGUGUGAUGACGAGGCACUACGGUGCUGAAGUGAUAAAUGCCCUGCUUCCAGGAAAAGCCUCUAAGCAUCAGGUAACACGAAAUCGUACCCCAAACCGACACAGGUGGUCAGGUAGAGAAUACCAAGGCGCUUGAGAGAACUCGGGUGAAGGAACUAGGCAAAAUGGUGCCGUAACUUCGGGAGAAGGCACGCUGAUAGGUAGGUGAAGCCCCUGCGGGCGGAGCUGAAAUCAGUCGAAGAUACCAGCUGGCUGCAACUGUUUAUUAAAAACACAGCACUGUGCAAACACGAAAGUGGACGUAUACGGUGUGACGCCUGCCCGGUGCCGGAAGGUUAAUUGAUGGGGUUAGCGGCAACGCGAAGCUCUUGAUCGAAGCCCCGGUAAACGGCGGCCGUAACUAUAACGGUCCUAAGGUAGCGAAAUUCCUUGUCGGGUAAGUUCCGACCUGCACGAAUGGCGUAAUGAUGGCCAGGCUGUCUCCACCCGAGACUCAGUGAAAUUGAACUCGCUGUGAAGAUGCAGUGUACCCGCGGCAAGACGGAAAGACCCCGUGAACCUUUACUAUAGCUUGACACUGAACACUGGUCCUUGAUGUGUAGGAUAGGUGGGAGGCUUUGAAGCGUGGACGCCAGUCUGCGUGGAGCCGUCCUUGAAAUACCACCCUUUAAUGGCUGGUGUUCUAACGUAGACCCGUAAUCCGGGUUGCGGACAGUGUCUGGUGGGUAGUUUGACUGGGGCGGUCUCCUCCCAAAGAGUAACGGAGGAGCACGAAGGUUGGCUAAUCCUGGUCGGACAUCAGGAGGUUAGUGCAAUGGCAUAAGCCAGCUUGACUGCGAGCGUGACGGCGCGAGCAGGUGCGAAAGCAGGUCAUAGUGAUCCGGUGGUUCUGAAUGGAAGGGCCAUCGCUCAACGGAUAAAAGGUACUCCGGGGAUAACAGGCUGAUACCGCCCAAGAGUUCAUAUCGACGGCGGUGUUUGGCACCUCGAUGUCGGCUCAUCACAUCCUGGGGCUGAAGUAGGUCCCAAGGGUAUGGCUGUUCGCCAUUUAAAGUGGUACGCGAGCUGGGUUUAGAACGUCGUGAGACAGUUCGGUCCCUAUCUGCCGUGGGCGCUGGAGAAUUGAGGGGGGCUGCUCCUAGUACGAGAGGACCGGAGUGGACGCAUCACUGGUGUUCGGGUUGUCAUGCCAAUGGCACUGCCCGGUAGCUAAAUGCGGAAGAGAUAAGUGCUGAAAGCAUCUAAGCACGAAACUUGCCCCGAGAUGAGUUCUCCCUGAGACUUUAAGUCUCCUGAAGGAACGUUGAAGACGACGACGUUGAUAGGUCGGGUGUGUAAGCGCAGCGAUGCGUUGAGCUAACCGAUACUAAUGAACCGUGAGGCUUAACCUU